rnacentral:rRNA from 1 species
UACGUAGGGGGCAAGCGUUGUCCGGAAUUAUUGGGCGUAAAGAGCGCGUAGGCGGUCCGGUAAGUCGGUUGUGAAAGUCGGGGGCUCAACCCAGGAAGUGCGCGAGAUAAUGGCGGACUGGAGUGACGGAGAGGAUGGCGGAAUACCCGGUGUAGAGGUGAAAUUCGUAGAUAUUCGCAAGAACACCAGUGGCGAAGGCGGCUCACUGGCCCGGUACUGACGCUGAGGUGCGAAAGCGUGGGGAGCAAACAGG